rnacentral:tRNA from 1 species
ACUAUUUUGGCAGAAAAGUGCCAUGAAUUUAGAAUUCAUAAAUGUGGGGUUUCCUACAAAUAGUA